rnacentral:tRNA from 1 species
AUAUGAGGCAGAAAACGGAUUCGAAAUCCGUUGUACUGGCAACAGUACCUAGGGUUCAAAUCCCUAUCUCUCCGCCA